UAUCUUUAGGUAUCAGUUUCUCAAACAGCAUUCACUCUCUACUUUUAAGCUUUUAUAAUUACUUAAAGUUUCCAUUCCUCUGUAAUGCAAAAAAAGGACUUUAUUUUUAAACCUUUGAGAGAGCCAGAUAACCUUGAAAAUUAAGUAAGAUGAAAGUGUAAGCCCUCUUAACACACAAAUAUUUAAGAAGUUAAUCCCUUAAAAAUCCUUUUAAUUCAGUUCCAUGAGAGGCGUGGCAGGCCAGGAGGUAAGAAUUUUAGGUGUUUUAAUCUCGAAAUCCUAAGACCCACUGCAGUCUAAUGUUGAACGCCUCCAUCCGUCAUAGUUAGGCACUGGUCUAGGACAAAGAAAGUGCUUGGUAGGGGCUUGUUGGCUUGAGUGGAAUCAUGAGUGGGGUUAAAUUGUACAGAUGCGCCCUGUGUGGUGAGAAAGUCCAGAAAACACUGGAAAAAUCCAGUGGGUGAUCAAAGGACUUAUCUCUAUGACAACUUACUGCUCAGAAAGGCUUCUGUGUGGAAACUUUCUGGGGCAUACAUACCUUCUGCAUUUUCUGAGGCUAACUUAAUUUCAAAAUGAAUCACCUAAGUGUCCCAAGAACCAUCAGAAUGUUACAGGAAGUUCAUCAUUAUUCAUGUGUGUGCAAGUGUGUGUGUGUGUGUGUGUGUGCGCGUGUGCACAUGGAGAGGCCACAGGGCCACCCCAGAUGCUGUCCCUCAGCAGUUAGCCACUUUUGUUUGUUUGGUCUGUUUUGUUUUGCUUUGAUUUUCAGUCAUAAUCUCUUGUCGGAUAUGAGCUCACUGGGUAGGAUAGGCUAGUGGCCUAGCAAGCCCCGGGGACUGUCCUGUCACCACCUCCCCAGUUCUGGGAAUUCAAGUACACAUCACCACGCCCAGUCUUUUAUGUGUAUAAAUUUAUGUGUGCCAGGGAAUCAAACUUUGGUAACUCAAUAUGCACUUUACUGCCUGAGACAUUUAGCUUUCUUUUCUUGCCUUGUCUUUUGUCUUGUCUUGUCUUGUCUUGUCUUGCCUUGCCUUGCCUUGCCUUGCCUUGCCUUGCCUUGCCUUUUUCCUUUCCUUUCCUUUCCUUUCCUUUCCUUUCCUUUCCUUUCCUUUCCUUUCCUUUCCUUUCCCUCCUCUUCUCUUCUCUUCUCUUCUCUUCUCUUCUCUUCUCUUCUCUUCUCUUCUCCUCUCCUCUCCUCUCCUCUCCUCUCCUCUCCUCUCCUCUUCUCUUCUCUUCUCUUCUUCUCUUCUUUUCUCUGGCCUAGAACUUACUAUGUAGUCCAGGGUGGCCUCAGACUCACAGAGAUAGAUCUGCCCCACCCCCUCCUUCCCCCAUUGCAGGGAUUAAAGGCACAUCUCAUCAUAUUGAAAUGAUCAGCAUUUUAAACUGGAGCUCUGAGACUCGGAUCACUUUGAGGUGUUGGAGCGAUGCCUAAGCCCUCUGUGGAACAGGUGUUUGGAAUUCUGUAGACUUUCUUGCAGUUCCUAUUGCCCUGAAAAGACACCAUGACCACAGCAACUCUUAAAAGGAAAAUAUUUAAUUGAGGAUGACUCACAGGUUCAGAUAUUUAGUCUGUUAUCAUCAUGACAGAAUCCACACAGUCAGACUCAAUGUGGAAAUUAACUGAGAGUUCUCCAUCUCAAUCUGUAGGCAGUAGGAGAGAGAUACUGGGCCUGGCUUGAGCGUUUGAAACCCUAAAACCAGUAAUGCACUUCUUCCUACAAGAUCAUACCUACUGCAACAAGGGCACACCUACUCCAACAAACUCACACCUUCUGAUGGUGCUACUCCUUGGGGCCCAAACUUCAAAUAUGUCUAUGGGGUCCAUUCCUAGUUAACCUAACACAGUGACUACUUUCUCCUGCUGUUUCUGCUCUCUUUUUGGUUCUCCAGUCUCCCACUACUGUCCUUGGACCCAUACUACAGUAGGAGGGGGCCUUCCAAUGGUUGGGUAGGGUGUGUAGAAACUGUGGUCAGAAGCCAUUCCUAGGUCACCUUUGUUCCACACUGCUUUGGAGUGGGAAAUAAGUCACAGGAGGUGACUCGGAAACAGACACCGGGAAUAUUCUCUUCCACUACAGAAUUCAUAAGGGACUGUUUAUCCAACUCUACCUCUCUGGCUACGACCCUUCAUGUUCAAACCUAUAGGGCAUUACUGUCUUCUAAGGGAGACGUGCACAGUUACUCUAGAGAAAGGUGGUCUCUGCUUUAUAGCCAGAGUUACAAUUUCCUACCUGUAUGUCCCUUGGGUGUGCGGUUUGUCCUGCUCAUUUCCAUAUCACUAAUGUCCCUUUUGGCUGCAUGGGUGCUCUCCCUGAUCCAUUUCCACCAUGGCCUCUCCCUGGAAGAAUUUCUUCUUUUGCUUACAACAGCAGACACCUGCCUUUGAGUUUUGUUAAUGGAGAAAGGAAGUGCUGUUGGCCAGAUUUCCACAGCUUUCUGAGAAUCCCCAUAGCUCCCUUAACAAAUAGCUCACGUUUUCAGUCCAUUUCUUUUGGUUUUGUUUAUGCUUCACCGAGUUAGGAAAUUUCAUAUGCCACUCAGUUCCUCAGAGCAGCUGAUACUGGGACAGACUUUAGACAAUCCCUUGCAGGGAAUUCAGGAGCAUGGGAUCCCUGGUCCCAGCCUUCCAAGCUCAGUUGGUGCUUUGCCAUCGUGAGAACAAAGCAUGGCAUCUGCUUGCCUCGCCUCACGAGGUGUGAUCCUGACCUUGCUGUGAGCCUUAUUAUGGGCUGGUUUUCAUUCAGUGCUGUGCGCACAAUAGAACAAAUCUAUUUAAGAGUCCAAGUCCCUCUGGAAGCACGGCUUUCCUCUGACACACACAAAAGGGGUUUUCAGGCAGCAGAUCGACAGGUAGUAAUUUUAAUAGCCACUAAUGUGAAUUAAUAAUUCUAAUAACCUUGUUUCAGACGUGCUAUCAGGACACGGGAGAGGGUUGCCAUGGCUGCUGUGUUUUAUUGCCCACAGCUGUGCAAACUCAUCUUGGCCCACACAGUUCUCCUCUGUAACCUCUCCUUUCUUUGGUUUACUCCAUGUCAGGCCUGUGUGGAUUUAACAGCAGCGACAACAAAGAAAACUUAGGAAAAGUUAGGGUUUUAGCACUCGAGUAAGCAUCAUUAAGCGGCAGAAGGAAAGGCACAUUUUAGGACAGAACGUGGUGACUAGAUCAUUGAUUUCCAGGUCCAGUUUAUAAUUUGUCAGUGGUUUCAAAGCACAUUUAAAACAUGCUUUGGGGGCAUAAAAGACGUUUCCCAGUGAGCUACUUUAGGUAUAUUAUUUUCUACAAAACUCCAGAGAGCAUGCUUGCUAUGAGUUAUCCACUCCAAAAGACCACUCAGGGAGGGGUUAAAGCUGGCUAGGGGUGACACUGGGUGUUCGGAGACCAAAUACAGUUCCAAGCCUUUCUCAGGAUAAGUGUUUAAACACAAAAGCUGUAUCCCAGUUGACGUACCUUCAGUUAACAAGAGCAGUUAGCCAGAAGCAGAACUACAGAAGCCAUAAAACCAAGGUUAGUACAGUUAAGAGACUGCCCCAGAAAUGUAGACUUUGAUGGAUUAGGUCUUUGUUCUUGUUUUUGCAGGUGUCGAUGCCUAUGUGUUGGGUGCCAAGGCCUGAAUGGUACUUGCAUCAUGGCCUCAGUUGUGCUAAGAUCUGGAGGCCUGUUACACACUAACCUACCAACUUAGGCUCAUAACUCACCGUAGAACAGUGACUGCGUGGUCAAGUGUGCCUCCCACACUUCCUAUUAUCUCCCACACAUUCUCCUCUUUAAAUCUUAUAGCAUUCCUAUGUGAUCAUAUUCGUGGUUGGACACCUAGACCUCGUCUGGUGGGAUGCUUGCUACCACAGGUGCUGUGACACCAGAACCCUACCACCAAGGAGCCUGGAAACCUGGAGGCUUGCGAUGUCACUGAUGCGGACCCAUGAAGACUGCCAAUCCAAAACACAGAAAAGCUGUGGACAGUAUGCGGUGAUCUUUAAUUAAAGUAUAUUUUUUAAGCCCA